rfam:Gorilla gorilla gorilla genomic chromosome, chrX, whole genome shotgun sequence
GCUGGGCGUGGUGGUGUGCGCCUGUAGUCCCAGCUACUGAGGAGGCUGAGGCAGGAGAAUUGCUUGGACCCGGGAAGUGGAGGUUGCAGUGAGCUGAGAUGGGGCCACUGCACUUCAGCCUGGGUGACAGAGCAAGACUCUGUCUCAA